rnacentral:rRNA from 1 species
AUUGAACGCUGGCGGCAUGCCUUACACAUGCAAGUCGAACGGCAGCACGGGGGCAACCCUGGUGGCGAGUGGCGAACGGGUGAGUAAUGCAUCGGAAUGUACCCAGUAGUGGGGGAUAACCAGUCGAAAGACUGGCUAAUACCGCAUACGCACUAUGGUGGAAAGCGGGGGAUCGCAAGACCUCGCGCUAUUGGAGCAGCCGAUGUCCGAUUAGGUAGUUGGUGGGGUAAUGGCCUACCAAGCCUGCGAUCGGUAACUGGUCUGAGAGGACGACCAGUCACACUGGGACUGAGACACGGCCCAGACUCCUACGGGAGGCAGCAGUGGGGAAUUUUGGACAAUGGGCGAAAGCCUGAUCCAGCAAUGCCGCGUGUGUGAAGAAGGCCUUCGGGUUGUAAAGCACUUUUGGCAGGAAAGAAAUCGUGCGUGCUAAUACCAUGCGCGGAUGACGGUACCUGCAGAAUAAGCACCGGCUAACUACGUG